UCGGGGAUCGUCUAACGGCAGGACGGAGGUUUUUGGUGCCUCCUAUGGGGGUUCGAAUCCCUCUCCCUGAA
rnacentral:tRNA from 1 species